rnacentral:rRNA from 1 species
UACGAAGGGGACUAGCGUUGUUCGGAUUUACUGGGCGUAAAGCGCGCGUAGGCGGAUCGCUAAGUCAGGGGUGAAAUCCCAGGGCUCAACCCUGGAACUGCCUUUGAUACUGAAGAUCUUGAGUCCGGGAGAGGUGAGUGGAACUGCGAGUGUAGAGGUGAAAUUCGUAGAUAUUCGCAAGAACACCAGUGGCGAAGGCGGCUCACUGGCCCGGAACUGACGCUGAGACGCGAAAGCGUGGGGAGCAAACGGG